UACGGGGGGAGCAAGCGUUGUUCGGAUUUACUGGGCGUAAAGGGCGCUUAGGCGGCGCAACAAGUCACUUGUGAAAUCUCCGGGCUUAACUCGGAGCGGUCAAGUGAUACUGUCGUGCUAGAGUGCGGAAGGGGCUACUGGAAUUCUCGGUGUAGCGGUGAAAUGCGUAGAUAUCGAGAGGAACACCUGCGGCGAAGGCGGGUAGCUGGGCCGACACUGACGCUGAUGCGCGAAAGCCAGGGGAGCGAACGGG
rnacentral:rRNA from 1 species